AACGAACGCUGGCGGCAUGCUUAACACAUGCAAGUCGAACGAGACCGCCGUGCUUAGUGGCGCACGGGGGCUGAACGCGUGGGAACCUGCCCUUAGGUACGGAAUACUUCCCCGAAAGGGGUCCUCAUACCGGUUAGGGUCUUCCGACCAAAGAUUUAUCGCCUUGGGAUGGGCCCGCGUUGGAUUCGCUGGUUGGUAGGGUAAAAGCCUACCAAGGCGACGAUGCAGAGCUGGUCUGAGAGGAUGGCCAGCCACACUGGGACUGCGACCCGGCCCAGACUCCUACGGGAGGGAGCAGUGGGGAAUACUGUACGAUGGGGGCAAGCCUGAUCCAGCCAUGCCGCGUGAGAGAUGAAGGGGUUAGGGAUGUAAAGCUCUUUUAGCCGGGAUGAUAGUGACGGUACCGGGAGAAUAAGCACCGGCUAACUACGUG
rnacentral:rRNA from 1 species